rnacentral:rRNA from 1 species
GAUGAACGCUGGCGGUGUGCCUAAUACAUGCAAGUCGAGCGAACAGACGAGGAGCUUACUCCUCUGACGUUAGCGGCGGACGGGUGAGUAACACGUGGAUAACCUACCUAUAAGACUGGGAUAACUUCGGGAAACCGGAGCUAAUACCGGAUAACAUGUUGAACCGCAUGGUUCAACAGUGAAAGACGGUCUUGCUGUCACUUAUAGAUGGAUCCGCGUCGCAUUAGCUAGUUGGUAAGGUAACGGCUUACCAAGGCAACGAUGCGUAGCCGACCUGAGAGGGUGAUCGGCCACACUGGAACUGAGACACGGUCCAGACUCCUACGGGAGGCAGCAGUAGGGAAUCUUCCGCAAUGGGCGAAAGCCUGACGGAGCAACGCCGCGUGAGUGAAGAAGGUCUUCGGAUCGUAAAACUCUGUUAUUAGGGAAGAACAAAUGUGGAAGUAACUAUGCACGUCUUGACGGUACCUAAUCAGAAAGCCACGGCUAACUACGUG